ACUGAUACUUCUUUUAAAUGCCUGUAGUAUAGGUGCUCAAUAAAGGUUAUUCCCAUCCCCUCAGGCAGAAAGGACUUGAACUAUAGCUAACUGAUUACUAGGCCAAAAGAACAUUAACGGUCAAGAUAUUUGGCUUGUCUUUUCCAGGAAUCAGAAAUCUAAUCAAGUAAGUACCACAUCCUGCAGGUCACGCCCUGAGGAUCUGUCAGCCUGGGGUGGAAUGAACUGCUUUCAGAGGCUGACUUUCCUUUCACUGCAGGAUGGAGAUGAUUUGGCACAUUUGAAUUGCAAUUGAAGAUACUCAAAGAGGACCCUUCUACCCACCUUAUGCACUGUGACGUCACGCUGCCUAUAGCUAAAUUACAGCUUGGAGGAGAGGGCAGUAGCAACUGAAAUAAUGUAGUACUAUUUUGCUCUCUCCUGAUUUACUCAACAAGGUGAGAGAAUGUGAAGGAUCUAGCAGAAUGGAUAAUGAACAUGUUCUUUAGUAUCUACCAUGUACCACAUGCUGUUCAAGGUCCUGGAGGUACAUCAGUGAACAAAAAGAUCCCUGCCCUGGAGGAGCUCACGUUCUCACAGCGGAAACAAUGACAAUACACAGUGACAAUACACAAGUGAAACAUGGAAUGUUGAAAGGUGAUAAGCCGGGCGUGGUGGCCCACACCUGUAAUCCCAGCUCUUUGGGAGGUUAAGAGUUAGAAACCAGCCUGACCAACAUGGAGAAACUCCAUCUCUACUAACAAUACAAAAUUAGCCGGGUAUGGUGGGGCAUGCCUGUAAUCCCCGCUACUCGGAGAAUUGCUUGAAUCCAGGAGACAGAGGUUGCAGUGAGCCAAGAUCCUGCCAUUGCACUACAGCCUGGGCAACAAGAGCAAAACUCCAUCUCAAAACAACAACAAAAAAAAGAAAGUCCAGGGCACCACCUCUGGAGUCACAAUGCUAUUCAAAUCUGUGUGAUCGUGGACAAGCUGCUUUCCCUCCGUGCGUCUUAAUUUCCUCAUCCAUAAAAUGAAGAGAAUAAUAGUACUUACCUCAAAGGGAUAUGGAAAGAGAAAAAUGCCAAACUGGGAGAAGGGAGUAAUACACAUGACUUCAUUUAUGAGAUGCCCUGCACUCGACAAAGCAUUCUUCCAACUGCUCCUCACUUUGCAAACUGCACGGAAUAGCUGGCAAAGCUCAGCUCUGCCAGUCAGAGGUGUGUGCUCCUCUUGCUCUCUGGCUGUGUAACCCCAGGCCUCUAUUACCUCAUUUCGUAAAAUGCAAGGAGACUAUUAAGAGCUGUGAUUUACAUCCCCAAUAACUGGACAAGACAGGUAGAGACGUUAUUUUUCUCAUUCUACACAAAUGAGGAAAUGCAUUCUUGCUGAGAACAUAUAG
rnacentral:lncRNA from 1 species